GCAUACCUACUCUGAGCAUGCAGUCGAACGCGUUGGCCUAAUUGAUUGAUGGUGCUUGCACCUGAUUGAUUUUGGUCGCCAACGAGUGGCGGACGGGUGAGUAACACGUAGGUAACCUGCCCAGAAGCGGGGGACAACAUUUGGAAACAGAUGCUAAUACCGCAUAACAACGUUGUUCGCAUGAACAACGCUUAAAAGAUGGCUUCUCGCUAUCACUUCUGGAUGGACCUGCGGUGCAUUAGCUUGUUGGUGGGGUAAUGGCCUACCAAGGCGAUGAUGCAUAGCCGAGUUGAGAGACUGAUCGGCCACAAUGGGACUGAGACACGGCCCAUACUCCUACGGGAGGCAGCAGUAGGGAAUCUUCCACAAUGGGCGCAAGCCUGAUGGAGCAACACCGCGUGAGUGAAGAAGGGUUUCGGCUCGUAAAGCUCUGUUGUUAAAGAAGAACACGUAUGAGAGUAACUGUUCAUACGUUGACGGUAUUUAACCAGAAAGUCACGGCUAACUACGUGCCAGCAGCCGCGGUAAUACGUAGGUGGCAAGCGUUAUCCGGAUUUAUUGGGCGUAAAGAGAGUGCAGGCGGUUUUCUAAGUCUGAUGUGAAAGCCUUCGGCUUAACCGGAGAAGUGCAUCGGAAACUGGAUAACUUGAGUGCAGAAGAGGGUAGUGGAACUCCAUGUGUAGCGGUGGAAUGCGUAGAUAUAUGGAAGAACACCAGUGGCGAAGGCGGCUACCUGGUCUGCAACUGACGCUGAGACUCGAAAGCAUGGGUAGCGAACAGGAUUAGAUACCCUGGCUAGUCCAUGCCGUAAACGAUGAGUGCUAUGUGUUGGAGGGUUUUCCGCCCUUCAGUGACCGGAGCUAAACGCAUUUAAGCACUCCUGCCUGAGGAGUACGACGCAUGGCUGAAACUUCAUAUGGAAUGGACGUGGUCCGCACAAGCGGUUGCAAGCAUGUGAUUUAAUUCGUAAGCUACGCGGAGAUCCUACCUAGGCC
rnacentral:rRNA from 1 species